CUUGUCGGGUAAGUUCCGACCUGCACGAAUGGCGUAAUGAUGGCCAGGCUGUCUCCACCCGAGACUCAGUGAAAUUGAACUCGCUGUGAAGAUGCAGUGUACCCGCGGCAAGACGGAAAGACCCCGUGAACCUUUACUAUAGCUUGACACUGAACAUUGAGCCUUGAUGUGUAGGAUAGGUGGGAGGCUUUGAAGUGUGGACGCCAGUCUGCAUGGAGCCGACCUUGAAAUACCACCCUUUAAUGUUUGAUGUUCUAACGUGGACCCGUAAUCCGGGUUGCGGACAGUGUCUGGUGGGUAGUUUGACUGGGGCGGUCUCCUCCUAAAGAGUAACGGAGGAGCACGAAGGUUGGCUAAUCCUGGUCGGACAUCAGGAGGUUAGUGCAAUGGCAUAAGCCAGCUUGACUGCGAGCGUGACGGCGCGAGCAGGUGCGAAAGCAGGUCAUAGUGAUCCGGUGGUUCUGAAUGGAAGGGCCAUCGCUCAACGGAUAAAAGGUACUCCGGGGAUAACAGGCUGAUACCGCCCAAGAGUUCAUAUCGACGGCGGUGUUUGGCACCUCGAUGUCGGCUCAUCACAUCCUGGGGCUGAAGUAGGUCCCAAGGGUAUGGCUGUUCGCCAUUUAAAGUGGUACGCGAGCUGGGUUUAGAACGUCGUGAGACAGUUCGGUCCCUAUCUGCCGUGGGCGCUGGAGAACUGAGGGGGGCUGCUCCUAGUACGAGAGGACCGGAGUGGACGCAUCACUGGUGUUCGGGUUGUCAUGCCAAUGGCACUGCCCGGUAGCUAAAUGCGGAAGAGAUAAGUGCUGAAAGCAUCUAAGCACGAAACUUGCCCCGAGAUGAGUUCUCCCUGAGACUUAGAGUCUCCUGAAGGAACGUUGAAGACGACGACGUUGAUAGGCCGGGUGUGUAAGCGCAGCGAUGCGUUGAGCUAACCGGUACUAAUGAACCGUGAGGCUUAACCUUACAACGCCAAGAUGUUUUGGCGGAUGAGAGA
rnacentral:rRNA from 1 species